CCUACGGGAGGCAGCAGUGGGGAAUAUUGGGCAAUGGAGGAAACUCUGACCCAGCAACGCCGCGUGAAUGAUGAAGGUCUUCGGAUUGUAAAGUUCUUUUCUAAGGGAAGAAGCAAGUGACGGUACCUUAGGAAUAAGCCUCGGCUAACUACGUGCUAGCAGCCGCGGGAAUACGUAGGAGGCAAGCGUUAUCCGGAAUGACUGGGAGUAAAGGGUGCGUAGGUGGUUUGACAAGGUGGUAGCGUAAGUCCGUGGCUUAACCUCGGAACUACUACUAACACAGUUGGACUCGAGUGCAGGAGGGGCAAAUGGAAUUCCUAGUGUAGCGGUGGAAUGCGUAGAGAUUAGGAGGAACACCAGUGGCGAAGGCGAUUUGCUGGACUGUAACUGACACUGAGGCACGAAAGCGUGGGGAGCAAACAGGAUUAGAUACCCCGGUAGUC
rnacentral:rRNA from 1 species